rnacentral:rRNA from 1 species
CGGCAACAGCUCAAAUUUGAAAUCUGGCGUCUUUGGCGUCCGAGUUGUAAUUUGCAGAGGGCGCUUUGGCAUUGGCAGCGGUCCAAGUUCCUUGGAACAGGACGUCACAGAGGGUGAGAGCCCCGUACGGUUGGAUGCCUAGCCUCUGUGAAACUCCUUCGAC